rnacentral:tRNA from 1 species
GCGGGAAUUGCUCAGUUGGUAGCACACGACCUUGCCAAGGUCGGGGUCGCGAGUUCGAGUCUCGUUUCCCGCUCCA